AUUGAACGCUGGCGGCAUGCCUUACACAUGCAAGUCGAACGGCAGCGCGGACUUCGGUCUGGCGGCGAGUGGCGAACGGGUGAGUAAUACAUCGGAACGUACCCUGUUGUGGGGAAUAACUAGUCGAAAGAUUAGCUAAUACCGCAUACGACCUGAGGGUGAAAGUGGGGGACCGCAAGGCCUCACGCAGCAGGAGCGGCCGAUGUCUGAUUAGCUAGUUGGUGGGGUAAAGGCCCACCAAGGCGACGAUCAGUAGCUGGUCUGAGAGGACGAUCGGCCAAACUGGGACUGAGACACGGCCCAGACGCCUACGGGAGGCAGCAGUGGGGAAUUUUGGACAAUGGGGGCAACCCUGAUCCAGCAAUGCCGCGUGUGUGAAGAAGGCCUUCGGGUUGUAAAGCACUUUUGUCCGGAAAGAAAUCGCGCUGGUUAAUACCUGGCGUGGAUGACGGUACCGGAAGAAUAAGCACCGGCUAACUACGUGCCAGCAGCCGCGGUAA
rnacentral:rRNA from 1 species